GACGAACGCUGGCGGCGUGCCUAAUACAUGCAAGUCGAACGCAGUGGGGACGGGUGAGUAACACGUGGGUAACCUCCCAUCAGAGGGGAUAACACUUGGAAACAGGUGCUAAACCGAUACUGAUGGAUGGACCCGCGGUGCAUUAGCUAGUUGGUGAGGUAACGGCUCACCAAGGCAACGAUGCCUAACGGACCGGUGAGGGUGGUCGGCCCAAUUGGGACUGAGAUACGGCCCAGACUCCUACGGUAGGCGGCAGUAGGUAAGCUGCGGCAAUGGACGAAAGUCUGACCGAGCAACGCCGCGUGAGUGAUGAAGGUCUUCGGAUCGUAAAACUCUGUUAUUAGGGAAGCGGUACCUAAUCAGAAAGCCACGGCUAACUACGUGCCAGCCGCCGCGGUAAUUC
rnacentral:rRNA from 1 species